rnacentral:rRNA from 1 species
GGACUACAGGGGUAUCUAAUCCCAUUCGCUACCCACGCUUUCGUGUUUCAGUGUCAGUAAUGUGCCAGUAAGCUGCCUUCGCUUUUGGUGUUCCCCAUGAUAUCAACGGAUUUCACCCCUACACCAUGAGUUCCGCUUACCUCUCACAUACUCAAGCUUUGCCGUUUCGUUCGCAGAUCCGAGGUUAAGCCCCGGGAUUUCACAAACGACUAACAAUGCCACCUACACACCCUUUACGCCCAAUAAUUCCGGAUAACGCUCGGGGCCUCUGUAUUACCGCGGCUGCUGGCAC